rnacentral:rRNA from 1 species
UACGUAGGGACCAAGCGUUGUUCGGAUUUACUGGGCGUAAAGGGCGCGUAGGCGGCAUUGUUAGUCACUUGUGAAAUCUCCGGGCUUAACUCGGAACGGCCAAGUGAUACUGCAGUGCUAGAGUGCGGAAGGGGCAAUCGGAAUUCCCGGUUGUAGCAGUGAAAUGCGUAGAGAUCGGGAGGAACAUCAGUUGCGAAGGCGGCUCUCUGGACCAGCACUGACACUGAGGCACGAAAGCGUGGGGAGCAAACAGGG